AGUUAACGAGCUGGAAAAUUUAAAGAUGAUCAUACAUUGUCUUACGCCUUAGUCUUAUUUGUCGAUAAUGCGCAUCUUAUUAAAUUAAAUGUAAAAGUAAUUUACAGAAUUAAUGCAUUAAAAAUAACUAUUCAUUGUUUUUAUCGCAUUUCGCUAAUAAUGAAAUACAUACGUAUUUGGCUCCUAAGUUUUUUUUUACAGCAAUACCUCGUUCCAUCUAUGUAGUUCGAUAAAAUUUUGUCUGCAACUCUGCAAUUGCGUUUCUAAUAUUGCAAAAAAUACUGCUUGGAGAAAGAAGUAUUAAGUUCGUAUAUAAUUAAAUCUUGAAAAAAAAGUACCAAAAUGCAAGGUCUUAGCCUUCAAAGCUUAAAGAAACACAAGGCGCUGAUUCCUCUCUACGUGUGUGUGGGCCUGGGCUGCGCUGGGUCCGUAUUUUACCUGGCGCGCUUGGCGUUGCGCUCUCCCGACGUUUCAUGGAACAGGCGCACCAACCCCGAGCCCUGGCAAGAGUAUAGGAACAAGCAGUACAAGUUCUACUCGCCCAUCAGAGACUACUCGAAGGAGGAAUCGCCCGCACCCAAAUACUAAAUCAACAUUCUUCUUAUAAACGUUGUGUUAUAAAUUAGAAACUUUAAUUUAAUAAAUAGUGAUAUGUGAUAUCGUAUUUUAUGCAGUUGGCAAACAUUUAUAUGGCUCACCUGAUGGUAAGUGAUUACUGGAGCUUAUAGACGU
rnacentral:misc_RNA from 1 species